ACUUCACACUCCACUCUUCCUUGGAGAGCCAUCCUCCAUUUCCUGCAGGUCUGGUCAGAGCCCCUUUCAUAGAAAUGGAAACACUUACUUGAAUUGGUUUCUGCAGAAGCCAGGCCAACCUCUAAAGUGCCUGAUUUAUGAAGUUUCUAACAGGAAGUCUGGGGUCUCAGGCAGGUUCAGCAGCAGUGGUUCAGGGACAGAUUUCAUAUUGAAAAUCAGCAGGGUAGAGGCUGAGGACGUUGGGGUUUAUUACUGCCUGCAA
rnacentral:lncRNA from 1 species